GCCGACGUAGCUCAAUCGGUAGAGCGUGUGGCUCUUAAUUCAAAAAGAGACUACCUCAAGGUCGUGGGUUCGAGCCCCACCGCCGGCU